AUGGAUGCACAUAGACAGCAUGGGAUGGUCCUAUUAACAUAGUACCAGGAGUGCUAAAGCUCAGAAUGGGAUGAAGUUGACUAGCCAAAGAGACUUUUACAUUGGAAAUGACAAGACAAGAAUGGCUAAUGGGGAGUUAAAAAGUGGAGAGAGAAUAAGAGAGCACCUAGAUACCCUUCGUGAAUUCAAGUCACUUGGCCCAGAUGAACUCCAUCUUUGAGUAUUGAAAGAAUUCAUAGAUAUGAUGGCUAAGCCACUGUCAAUGACAUCUGAAGAAAGAUCACAGAAAACAGAAGAGGUACCAAAGGAUGGAAAAAGAAUAAAUAUUGUCUCAACUUUUGGAAGAGGGAAAGUCUGCAAUUUAUAAACUGUUACAGGUUGGACUAGUAGCCAAAGUUCCUUCCUACUAAAAUUCUGUGAUUCAAUGAUUCUGAUAGUUAACCUGCCAGACAAAGCGCUUGGACCAGAGACACAGUGUUACAAAGGAGGUCCUGCUUUAGAAUAGCCUGGGAGUACAUGGACAUGGCUUAGAGACGAAGUAUCUCCCCUUCAUUCAAGAGUGUUUACUGUGCUCCA